rnacentral:lncRNA from 1 species
AUGAAAAUGUUUCUGAAAUGUAUUACGUAUUCUCCCCAACAGUGUUUCCGGACGGUAGCUCAGCCUUUUACAGCGAACACAGCGAUGGCGGCCACACGAUUCUUGCCGUGCCCACCUGUCAUCGGAGCAGCCCAGCAGGUGGAAAGACGGCGAGGCGUCUGCUCCAACCUGAAAGCACGGACGCCUGUAGCACUCAGGUUCCCGUUUUCGACUUUCCAGUCUCCUUCCUCCUGCCAGGGAGCUUGGGGAAGAUCUUCUGUAUUUGUGGUGGCUCUUAUCCAAGAAGGCCCCUCACACACUGAACACAGCUGACCUGCGUAAUCCCUGGGAUGUUGUGGAAAUGACAGCAUGACUUCAGACACUAGAUUAAGUAAGACCUUGUGGCUUCUGCCUUGUUUUUUUGGGGGGGUCACUCUCCCUGGAAGAAACCAGCCACCGUGUUGUGAGGUGGUACCCUGUGGGGAGGCCCGCGUGCCACCAGCAGCCAACACGUGGCUUGCCAGCCAUGCAAGCGAGCAGAUCUUCCAGUCCCGGUCAAGCCUUCAGAUGAUGACAGCACCAAAAACCAUCUUGACUGAACCUUGUUAGUGAGCACCCGGCUAAGCCGCGCUCCCAUUCCUGACCCACAGAAAUUGUGUGAGAUGAUAAACGUUUACUGUUUUAUGCUGCCAAGACUCUGGGGGAAUUUGUUACGCAGCCAUGGGUGACUGUUACAGUAUCUGAAUCCACACGUGCCGGAGCAGAGUGGGGCACUCCAGCUCAAAGAGAGGUACUAUGGUGAUGUCAUAACUAAUCACGGAUUGUCACAGAGCUCUGUAAAUAGAGGAUAAUUUGACCCCAAACAAGGUGGGAGGUUAGUAAGGAAACGGAGUGGGAGUUUCUUUGACGUGGUUCUGACUCACCCAGUGAUUCCUCACUCCGGUUUCCUUUUCCUGCCAUCUCUGCUUGUGUAAGCACAUCUCGGACUGUAUUUACAAAUCAAAAUCAGAAAGCCUCAGAUCUCUCUCACCCUGAGAACUUCUCAUCUAAAAUCACAACCAGGAGGCCUAAAUAAAGAGAAAAGAAGGAACA